rnacentral:rRNA from 1 species
CAACGGCCGACGUGGAGGUAUGAAGGUCCCUUAGGGACGUAGCCUCCUUUCGACUGGGAAGAUAAUGACGGUACCAGUGGAAGAAGCCCGGCUAACUUCGUGC